GGGUUGUGAGGUUAAGCGACUAAGCGUACACGGUGGAUGCCCUGGCAGUCAGAGGCGAUGAAGGACGUGCUAAUCUGCGAUAAGCGCCGGUAAGGUGAUAUGAACCGUUAUAACCGGCGAUUUCCGAAUGGGGAAACCCAGUGUGAUUCGUCACACUAUCAUUAACUGAAUCCAUAGGUUAAUGAGGCGAACCGGGGGAACUGAAACAUCUAAGUACCCCGAGGAAAAGAAAUCAACCGAGAUUCCCCCAGUAGCGGCGAGCGAACGGGGAGGAGCCCAGAGCCUGAAUCAGCAUGUGUGUUAGUGGAAGCGUCUGGAAAGGCGCGCGAUACAGGGUGACAGCCCCGUACACAAAAGCGCAUGUGCUGUGAGCUCGAUGAGUAGGGCGGGACACGUGGUAUCCUGUCUGAAUAUGGGGGGACCAUCCUCCAAGGCUAAAUACUCCUGACUGACCGAUAGUGAACCAGUACCGUGA
rnacentral:rRNA from 2 species